AUCCGGUCAAGGGCGAACCCUAGAACAGACCCUGUGUAGGCCUAUGAUCGUGUGACCCCUGCUCCGUCCCCUUUCGCUCCUCUCCGAGCGCCGCGCCCGAGGCCCGACGGCUGCGCUCCCGUGCUCCUCCUCCGCCCUCAAAACAGCCGAUUGCCGGCGAUCUGGUCAGCCUCCUGCCCGACCGGCGACUCUUCGUGGGGGGCGGCUCCUUCUUAAGGGGUACGUCAGACGCACACCAUCCCGCCAGCCGAAUCGAUUGAGUCGCCACCGCGCUUCCCCUCGCCGCGGAAUUGCGGCCCGCGAGCGAUUCGGCGCCACCUCCGGGUUUGGAAACUUCUUAUAUGCUCACGUGUUCGGCGCUGAUUGGUGCAAAUAGUUUGGGGGCUUCGAGGACCGAAAUUCUGUGAAUCAAUUGUAAAAAGGUGUGGCUAUUUGUACUAUCUGAGGUGUGAAGAAAUGGAAUGCAACAGGGAUGAGGCCCAAAGGGCAAAGGAUAUUGCAAAGAAGAAGUUUGAAAUGAGGGACCUCCCGGGUGCCAUGAAAUUCGCUCUCAAGGCUCGGGCGCUCUUUCCUGAUCUUGAAGGCAUUGCUCAGAUGAUUGCCACCUUUGAUAUCUAUCUUGCUUCGGAGGUGAAGGUUGCUGGGGAGAAGGACUGGUACUCUAUCCUUUCUGUUGCCACGUCAGCAGAUGAUGAAGUGAUCAAGAAACAGUACAGGAGGUUGGUUCUUCAGCUCCACCCCGACAAGAACAAGGAAGUGGGUGCUGAGGCUGCUUUUCAUAUGGUCCAAGAGGCAUAUACACUGCUAUCCGAUAAAGUCAAGAGAGCAGUAUACGACCAAAAGAGGAAUGUAAGGGUUUUCCAGCAAAGGACAGCUCAAUCAAGUAAGGCAAGUGUGGCUCCUGGUGUAUCUAAUGGCUUCUAUAAUUUCGCUGCCAAUGCUGCUGCCACCUCCAAGCCGACAGUAAAAAAGCAAACAGCGGGACCAACAGCACCUGCCGUGCGCCCGUGCCCGCGCCCACCUCAACCUCCACCACCAUCUGCCGCGCCCCCCCAUGCAUCUUCCCCUCCUACACCUGCACCUGGGUCAAAACCUCCUACAUUUUGGACCUCAUGCAACAAAUGCAAGAUGAACUAUGAGUACCUCAGGGUGUAUCUGAACCACCAUCUUCGUUGCCCUAGCUGCCGUGAGCCGUUCCUAGCAAAAGAGGUACCAAUACCACCAACUAAAACCGUGGGACAGGAUUCAAACAUUGGUGGUGCAAAACAAAACACAAGCACUAAUAGAAAUAUGCAGUGGGGUCCAUUUUCAAGGGCUGCUGGUGCAGCUAGCGCCACUGCAUCGUCUGCUGCUGCUGCUCAAGCUGCUAAUGUAGUUCACCAGACUUACGAAAAAGUUAAGAGGGAGAGGGAGGAGGCUCAAGCAGCGGCAAGAAGGGAAGAGGCUCUUCGGCGGAAGUACAAUCGUCUAAAAAGUCAUGCAAGCAUGUCAGAGGACGUUAAUGUUGGAACAGGUGAUGCUGCAUCUGGAAAGAAGAUGAAGACUAUGGUUAAAGAUGCUGGAGUUGGUUCUUCAUCGGUCAUAUCAGGUCCCGGAGCAAAUUGUUUUAGAGUGCCUGGUGUGAAUAUAUCUUUUUCAAGCAACAUUGGGCCCUAUGAGUUUCAAGGUGUUAAUGGUGGACCCAAUUGGAAACCCAGGCCUCCAAUCCGCAUAAGUUUAACCAAGUCCUUCUCCCAGUUGGAUGUUAGGGGUCUUUUGCUGGAAAAAGCGAAAAGUGAGCUGAAAAACAAGCUAACAGAAAUGAGAAGUAAAACAUCCCAAGUUGCUGCUAGUGGAAAAACGACCAAGAAACAUGUGGUUAAGGAAACUGGAGGGGAUAAUGAAGCUGCAGCAUCAGAUGAUCCUACUACCAAUAAAGAUGUUCAUGCUGAUCCAAAUGCGAUUGGUUCAAAUACUAGCUCAGAUGCUGAAAAUGAUGUUGAUGACCCCUUGUCAUAUAAUGUUCCUGAUCCUGAUUUCCAUGAUUUUGACAAGGAUCGCACUGAGGAAUCUUUUCAGAGUGAUCAAAUUUGGGCUACAUAUGAUGAUGAGGAUGGUAUGCCUCGUUAUUAUGCAUUCAUUCAGAAAGUUUUCUCUUUGAAACCAUUCAAGCUCAAAAUAAGCUAUCUUGAAACAAAGACAAAUAGUGAAUUUGGGCCUUUGAAUUGGGUUUCUUCUGGCUUCACAAAGACAUGUGGUGAUUUCAGGACUGGUAAAUCUGAAACCUGUGAUAUAGUCAACAUGUUCUCUCACCAGAUGAAAUGGGAGAAAGGGCUGCGUGGGGUUAUCAAAAUUUAUCCACAGAAAGGUGACAUCUGGGCUAUUUAUCGGAAUUGGUCCCCUGAAUGGGAUGAAGACACUCCAGAUAAUGUGCUCCAUGCCUAUGAUGUGGUUGAGGUACUAGAUGGUUAUGAUGAAGAUCAUGGCAUCUCCGUUAUUCCCUUAGUUAAAGUUUCCGGGUUUCGAACAGUAUUUGAGCGCCAUCAGGAUGUGAACGCUGCCAUGAAGAUUCCCAAAGAAGAGAUGUUUCGGUUUUCACAUCAAGUGCCUUUUUACAGGAUGUCAGGCAAAGAAGCUCCAAAUGUCCCCAAAGAUAGCUAUGAGCUUGACCCAGCUGCUAUUUCUAAAGAACUUCUUCAAGAGACCACAGAAACAGUGGAGGCAAAUGGAACCUCCUAAUGUUGAUUAAGACAGUUAACAAUGGUCCUUGGUUGACCUUCCAUUUUGAAGCAACAGUUUUCCCCAAUCACCAUGACGAUAGUAUGCUUUUGACAAGUAUUCCUUCUUAUGUCAAAGAGUGGAUGUCUGUACUACUACCAUUGGCUUUUGAACGGAAAGUUUGCAUAAUAACUAACAUGGGUGCAAGUAAGGUGUUGCUCACUGUAGUGUAACUUAUUACAAGUAACUUGAGUUUUUCUUUUUCACUUCUUUUCUCUGUUUCUUCCUGUUAUGUUAGUGGAUCCUCUUGGAGCACAGAAAGAAGUACUGAACCUGGCAUCUAUUUUGGGACAGGAGAUAACAGUAGCUGUAGCUUAUGAAUCAUCCUUUAAAACUCAAGGUUCUAUAUAUCUGUGCUGCUUGAAAAUCAUGAUCGGUUUAUCUACAAUGUAGAAAUCGACAAUCAAGAUUAGACUGGUAUUUAAAAAAUACAAUCAAGAUUGGUUGUAUUCUUACUGCUAUUCUUAAUUUUGCCUGUUUUUUUAGGAAGCCCUCUAUCAUCCAAUGAAACAACAGGGGCAGGUGGG